UACGAGGGGGGCGAGCGUUGUUCGGAAUUAUUGGGCGUAAAGGGUGCGUAGGCGGUUUUGUAAGUCUUAUGUGAAAUCUAUGGGCUCAACUCAUAGACUGCAUGAGAAACUGCAGGGCUUGAGUAUGGGAGAGGUGAGUGGAAUUCCUGGUGUAGCGGUGAAAUGCGCAGAUAUCAGGAGGAACACCGGUGGCGAAGGCGGUUCUCUGGGCAUUACCUGACGCUGAGGAGCGAAAGUGUGGGGAGCGAACAGG
rnacentral:rRNA from 1 species